rnacentral:rRNA from 1 species
GAGUUUGAUCCUGGCUCAGAUUGAACGCUGGCGGCAGGCCUAACACAUGCAAGUCGGGCGGUAGAGAGAAGCUUGCUUCUCUUGAGAGCGGCGGACGGGUGAGUAAUGCCUAGGAAUCUGCCUGGUAGUGGGGGGUAACGCUCGGAAACGGACGCUAAUACCGCAUACGUCCUACGGGAGAAAGCAGGGACCUUCGGGCCUUGCGCUAUCAGAUGAGCCUAGGUCGGAUUAGCUAGUUGGUGAGGUAAUGGCUCACCAAGGCGACGAUCCGUAACUGGUCUGAGAGGAUGAUCAGUCACACUGGAACUGAGACACGGUCCAGACUCCUACGGGAGGCAGCAGUGGGGAAGUAUUGGACAAUGGGCGAAAGCCUGAUCCAGCCAUGCCGCGUGUGUGAAGAAGGUCUUCGGAUUGUAAAGCACUUUAAGUUGGGAGGAAGGGCAGUAAAUUAAUACUUUGCUGUUUUGACGUUACCGACAGAAUAAGCACCGGCUAACUCUGUGCCAGCAGCCGCCG